UGAACGGCGUUGAAAGGGAGGAGUAAGGCGGUUUCGAUUGUCCAGAGACGGUGCAGCGCGCUGAAAUGCACCGCUUUCGUCCGUCUGAAGGUCGCCCUUGAGCUGCUUACCCCGGGUCAUUCCGUUAUCGAUGUCGAGUGUUUCGUUCGUCUCGCGAUGAGCGGAAAAUUCAGGUGGUAACGCGGAGCCUAUCCGUCCUGAGG
rnacentral:ncRNA from 1 species